CUACGGGUCGCAGCAGUGGGGAAUAUUGGACAAUGGGGGAAACCCUGAUCCAGCAAUGCCGCGUGUGUGAAGAAGGCCUGCGGGUUGUAAAGCACUUUCGGUUGGGAGGACUGCUUCUAGCACUAAUAUUGUUGGAAGUUGACGUUACCUUCAGAAGAAGCACCGGCUAACUCCGUGCCAGCAGCCGCGGUAAUACGGAGGGUGCAGGCGUUAAUCGGAAUUACUGGGCGUAAAGCGCGCGUAGGCGGCUAGAUCAGUCGGGUGUGAAAGCCCCGGGCUUAACCUGGGAACUGCAUCCGAUACUGUCUAGCUUGAGUACAGGAGAGGGGAGUGGAAUUCCACAUGUAGCGGUGAAAUGCGUAGAUAUGUGGAGGAACACCAAUGGCGAAGGCAGCUCUCUGGCCUGAUACUGACGCUGAGGUGCGAAAGCGUGGGGAGCAAACAGGAUUAGAUACCCGCGUAGUC
rnacentral:rRNA from 1 species